rnacentral:rRNA from 1 species
ACCCUGAUGCAGCGACGCAGCGUGCGGGAUGACGGCCUUCGGGUUGUAAACCGCUUUCAGCAGGGAAGAAGCGAAAGUGACGGUACCUGCAGAAGAAGUACCGGCUAACUACGUGCCAGCAGCCGCGGUAAUACGUAGGGUACGAGCGUUGUCCGGAAUUAUUGGGCGUAAAGAGCUCGUAGGUGGUUGGUCACGUCUGCUGUGGAAACGCAACGCUUAACGUUGCGCGUGCAGUGGGUACGGGCUGACUAGAGUGCAGUAGGGGAGUCUGGAAUUCCUGGUGUAGCGGUGAAAUGCGCAGAUAUCAGGAGGAACACCGGUGGCGAAGGCGGGACUCUGGGCUGUAACUGACACUGAGGAGCGAAAGCAUGGGGAGCGAACAGGAUUAGAUACCCUGGUAGUCCAUGCCGUAAACGUUGGGCACUAGGUGUGGGGGACAUUCCACGUUCUCCGCGCCGUAGCUAACGCAUUAAGUGCCCCGCCUGGGGAGUACGGUCGCAAGGCUAAAACUCAAAGGAAUUGACGGGGGCCCGCACAAGCGGCGGAGCAUGCGGAUUAAUUCGAUGCAACGCGAAGAACCUUACCAAGGCUUGACAUACACUGGACCGUUCUGGAAACAGUUCUUCUCUUUGGAGCUGGUGUACAGGUGGUGCAUGGUUGUCGUCAGCUCGUGUCGUGAGAUGUUGGGUUAAGUCCCGCAACGAGCGCAACCCUCGUUCUAUGUUGCCAGCACGUGAUGGUGGGAACUCAUAGGAGACUGCCGGGGUCAACUCGGAGGAAGGUGGGGAUGACGUCAAAUCAUCAUGCCCUUUAUGUCUUGGGCUUCACGCAUGCUACAAUGGCUGGUACAGAGAGAGGCGAACCCGUGAGGGUAAGCGAAUCCCUUAAAGCCAGUCUCAGUUCGGAUCGUAGUCUGCAAUUCGACUACGUGAAGUCGGAGUCGCUAGUAAUCGCAGAUCAGCAACGCUGCGGUGAAUACGUUCCCGGGCCUUGUACACACCGCCCGUCAAGUCACGAAAGUCGGUAACACCCGAAGCC